rnacentral:tRNA from 1 species
GCGGGGUGGAGAAGCGUGUUAUCUCGCCGGGAUAACUACCCCGGAGAUCGCAGGUUCGAAUCCUGCUCCCGCUA